UCAUCUUCUCUCCCCUUUCUGAGCUCGAGUGGAGACGGCGGCCAUGGCUGGCCGGAGGGAGAGCGAGCGGCGGCGGCGCCGCCAGCCCCCUCAGGGUGUUCUUGCUUGACUCGAUUCGGGGUUUCUCUUGGGGUUAGGGUUUCUGAUUCUUCUAGGGUUAGAGUUCGUGGUGUUCUUGAUCGAUCCGAGAUCGAAUAAGGGUUUCUUUGUUUUCUGUUUCUUAGAUUCAAGAUUGAAUCCAGUUUCAUGUUGUAUUCGAGAUUCCCUGGUAAGCGGCGGCUCAAAUUUUUCUAGACGUUUGGGUGAGAUUUUUGCUUAUUUCCAUCCAGAAUCGGCUUAUAAUCGGAAACAAACAGCUAGUGUCUAUCCACCGAGGCAGGAGUGACAGGGGCGCGAGCGAGCGAGCGAGCGAUAGGAGGGCGGGCCAUGGCGGGUGUUGGCAGAAGUCGUCCCGAGUCGCCGCCGGCGACGGCAAGGCUGGCGCUGCUGGUGGCGGCCGCGGCGGUGGCCACCACCAUGGCUGGCAUCAUGGCGGAGGGCAAGGCGGUGCGCGUGGAGGAGCCGCACUGGCGGAGCAUGCUGGCCAAUGGCCUCGACUCCGCCCCUCCCAUGGGGUGGAACAGCUGGAACCACUUCCAGUGCGACGGCAACGGCGAGGUGGUCAUCAGGGAGACCGGUGCCGUUUCACUGAGACACUCCUUUAGAGAGCGUCAAAGAAGAAGAAGCUUCUUAUUUUAGAUCUUAAUGGUGUGCUUGCGGAUAUUAACAAUGACCAACAAAGCGGUAUCAUGGCUGAUGGCCGUGCUGAAGGGAAGUUAGGUAAAUAUAUUUAUCCCAUUGCUACUAUUUGCACAGAUGCUCAUGAAUCUAGCCUGUAAUGAAAGAUGUUAAUAUACAUUGAUGCACCUUUUACCAGUAUUUCGAAGGCCUUACAGUGAUGAGUUUCUCGACUUUUGCGCCCAGAACUUUGAGGUGGCUAUAUGGUCCUCAAGAAACAAAAAUAAUGUGGAAUUGGUGGUUGAUAUUGUCAUGAAAGAUUUCAAACCGUGCCUGUUAUUUUGUUGGACGCAUCUAAAUGCACAGAAACUGGGCAUAAUACACAAGAUAAUAGGGAAAAACCUUUAGUGCUCAAGGAGUUGAGAAAACUGUGGCAGAAGGAAGACCCUGAUCUUCCAUAGGAACAGGGGGACUACUCGCCUUCAAAUACAUUUCUUGUGGAUGACUCUCCUUACAAAGCUCUUCACAAUCCUCCACACACUGGAAUUUUUCCUCACUCCUACAGUUAUCAGAACUGGACAGAUGAUUCAGUGGGGCCCGGUGGAGACCUUCGCGUCUAUCUGCAGAAACUAGCUGAUGCGGAUGAUGUUCAAACUUAUGUUCGCAACAAUCCAUUCGGCCAGCCCUUCAUUACUGACAGUGAUCCGCAUUGGGACUUCUAUUCACAACUUGUUGUUUAAGGGAGCGUACCAUUGACUUCUGAUUAAACGUGUAUAUAGUGAUCUUCAGGGAGUGCUAGUUUAAUUGUAACCAGCCCUGCACGGGGGAUUACAAAUAUUAAUGAAUGGAGCUUGUUAGAUGUA